rnacentral:rRNA from 1 species
CCUACGGGGUGCAGCAGUGAGGAAUAUUGGUCAAUGGGCGCGAGCCUGAACCAGCCAAGUCGCGUGAGGGAAGACGGUCCUAUGGAUUGUAAACCUCUUUUGUCGGGGAGCAAAAGACGCCACGCGUGGCGUUCCGAGAGUACCCGAAGAAAAAGCAUCGGCUAACUCCGUGCCAGCAGCCGCGGUAAUACGGAGGAUGCGAGCGUUAUCCGGAUUUAUUGGGGUUAAAGGGGGCGCAGGCGGAAGAUCAAGUCAGCGGUAAAAUUGAGAGGCUCAACCUCUUCGAGCCGUUGAAACUGGUGUUCUUGAGUGAGUGAGAAGUAUGCGGAAUGCGUGGUGUAGCGGUGAAAUGCAUAGAUAUCACGCAGAACUCCGAUUGCGAAGGCAGCAUACCGGCGCUCAACUGACGCUCAUGCACGAAAGUGUGGGUAUCGAACAGGAUUAGAUACCCUUGUAGUC